CAUAUGAAAAGCGAGGAAUGAAUAGAUGAAGAUGCAUAUGGUUUAUGAUUUAGGAUAUUUAUAUUCUACUUGGGAUAGGGAGUCUGAUCGCUGUUUGUUUGCAAUCUUUCCUGCUCGAUUUGUUAGGUCCAAGGUGGUGGAAAUACUGGAAAUGCUUUGACUUGUGCUGCUCGUCUUGGCUUAAAGCCAAGGAUAAUUUCUAAGAUUGCAAAUGAUCCUCAAGGCAGGGCCUUGGUAGAGGAGCUAGAAGCUGAAGGGAUUGACACCUCUUUCAUGGUGAUCUCCAAGGAGGGGACUACACCAUUUAGCUACAUCAUUAUUGACAACCAAACGAAAACACGCACUUGCAUAUUCACUGAAGGAUAUCCUAAAAUGAUACCGGAAGAUCUUCCACGACCUCGUUUGUUAUCUGCAUUGGAUGGAGCGAAAUUGGCUUAUUUUGAUGUAAGAAUGCCAGAAACUGCUCUUCUCAUUGCUCACGAGGCAUUUAAUCGAAAAAUACCUAUCUUAGUUGAUGUUGAAAGGCCAAGGGAAGGAUUGGACGAACUCCUACCACUGACAGAUUAUGUUAUAUGCUCGGAAAAAUUUCCACAGGCUUGGACGAGAGCAUCGACUAUUCCAAGAGCACUUGUUUCGAUCAUGUUAAGGCUUCCAAGACUCAAAUUUGUAAUCGUGACUUUAGGAAAGAAUGGCUGCAUAAUGCUUGAGCAACUUGCGGAUGAGAGUCCCCUAUUAGAAGAAAUUGAUAUCGAUAGCGACUUGGAGUCACUAUCAAAGUCGAAGGAUGAUAGCACCAUGCCUACAAUCAUAGCCUCGUCCAUAACAAGAUUUACUGCAGAAGGAAUAGGAUCCGUGUGUGGAAGGUUAUCUAUUGGGACUGCUGAAAAGAUUCCAGAAUCAGAGAUUAUUGAUACAACUGGUGCCGGGGACGCAUUUGUUGGAGCUAUUUUAUAUGCUAUAUGUGCCAACUUUGAUCCAAGGGCAAUGUUGCCAUUUGCUUCUUAUGUGUUUGUAUGAAAAUUGGAAGACAAUGAAGCCCAUACCAAUUACCAGUUUAUAUAAUGUCACAUAGUGAAUUUGAGGCUGCGGCCAACUGUAAAGCUCUUGGAGCUCGAAGUGGUCUUCCAUAUCGCACCGAUCCAUAUUUGGUAUCAGUAUUUGCUCCGCGCUGGUAGAAACUCAAAGCAAUUGUGAAAUCUCCAAUGUAAUAUGUGCAAGAAAAAUAAUGAUUCACAAUACAAAAUUGAGCCUUUACAUGAUCUCAGUUUGUAACUUAGCAUUUUGUUAAGCUUGCCCUUUGCACAAGUUUUUAUAGCAUUUGUUCUGUUGGUGAUACUAAGUGUACAAGUGUUUUUGACAACCAAGUCUGACCAAGUUGAAAGAAGGUGGAGGAGAUGCUGGAAUUGAAGUUGAAUGCGUGAAUAACAGAGAUGAAAAAACACAUAAAGAUACUUAGUUAGAGUUGGUUACAAAAAUAACUUAUUCACCUA